AGAGUUUGAUCAUGGCUCAGGACGAACGCUGACGGUGUGCUUUAGACAUGCAAGUCGAACGAGAAAGCCCUUCGGGGUGAGUACAGUGGCGAACGGGUGAGUAACACGUGGGCAACCUGCCCCUCGCAGGGGGACAACCGGAGGAAACUCCGGCUAAUACCCCGUACGCUUGUUGGAUCGCAUGGUCCGGCAAGGAAAGGUAGCUUCGGCCAUCCGGCGAGGGAUGGGCCCGCGUUGCAUUAGCUAGUUGGUGGGGUAACGGCCUACCAAGGCGACGAUGCGUAGCUGGUCUGAGAGGAUGAUCAGCCACACUGGGACUGAGACACGGCCCAGACUCCUACGGGAGGCAGCAGCCAGGAAUCUUGGGCAAUGGGCGAAAGCCUGACCCAGCAACACCGUGUGGGUGACGAAGGCCUUAGGGUCGUAAAGCCCUGUUGAUAGGGACGAAGGGCGAAGGGUUAAUAGCCCCUAGCUUGACGGUACCUUUCGAGGAAGCCCCGGCUAACUACGUGCCAGCAGCCGCGGUAAUACGUAGGGGGCGAGCGUUGUCCGGAAUUAUUGGGCGUAAAGAGCGUGUAGGCGGUUCGGUAAGUCUGCUGUGAAAUCCUGGGGCUCAACCCUGGGCGUGCAGCGGAUACUGCCGGGCUAGAGGGUGGUAGAGGCGAGUGGAAUUCCGAGUGUAGCGGUGAAAUGCGCAGAUAUUCGGAGGAACACCAGUAGCGAAGGCGGCUCGCUGGGCCACACCUGACGCUGAGACGCGAAAGCGUGGGGAGCGAACAGGAUUAGAUACCCCGGUAGUCC
rnacentral:rRNA from 1 species